rnacentral:rRNA from 1 species
UGCGCAGGCGGUUAUGCAAGACAGAGGUGAAAUCCCCGGGCUCAACCUGGGAACUGCCUUUGUGACUGCAUGGCUAGAGUACGGUAGAGGGGGAUGGAAUUCCGCGUGUAGCAGUGAAAUGCGUAGAUAUGCGGAGGAACACCGAUGGCGAAGGCAAUCCCCUGGACCUGUACUGACGCUCAUGCACGAAAGCUGGGAGCAAACA